rnacentral:tRNA from 1 species
GGAGUGGUGUCCGAGUUGGCUGAAGGAGCUCGCCUCGAAAGCGAGUAGGGUGCCAAAAGCGCCCUCGUGGGUUCGAAUCCCACCCACUCCGCCA